rnacentral:rRNA from 1 species
AGGCUGCAACCCGCCCUGCAUGAAGCCGAAAUUGCUAGUAAUCGCGGAUCAGCAUGCCGCGGUGAAUACGUUCCCGGGCCUUGUACACACCGCCCGUCACACCAUGGGAGUCGGUAACACCCGAAGCCAGUAGCCCAACCGCAAGGAGGACGCUGUCGAAGGUGGGAUUGAUAACUGGGGUGAAGUCGUAACAAGGUAUC